rnacentral:rRNA from 1 species
UACGAAGGGGGCUAGCGUUGCUCGGAAUCACUGGGCGUAAAGCGCACGUAGGCGGAUCGUUAAGUCUGGGGUGAAAUCCUGGAGCUCAACUCCAGAACUGCCUUUGAUACUGGCGACCUUGAGUUCGGGAGAGGUGAGUGGAACUGCGAGUGUAGAGGUGAAAUUCGUAGAUAUUCGCAAGAACACCAGUGGCGAAGGCGGCUCACUGGCCCGAUACUGACGCUGAGGUGCGAAAGCGUGGGGAGCAAACAGG